rnacentral:rRNA from 1 species
UACGGAGGGUGCAAGCGUUGCUCGGAAUUAUUGGGCGUAAAGGGUAGGUAGGUGGUCUCAUUUGUCUGGGGUGAAAGCCUUGAGCUUAACUCAAGAAGCGCCCCAGAAACGGUGAGACUAGAGUCCUGGAGAGGGUCGUGGAAUUCCCGGUGUAGCGGUGAAAUGCGUAGAGAUCGGGAGGAACACCAGAGGCGAAAGCGGCGACCUGGACAGGUACUGACACUCAACUACGAAAGCGUGGGGAGCAAACAGG